GAUAAACGCUGGCGGCGUGCCUAAUACAUGCAAGUCGAGCGAACGGACGAGAAGCUUGCUUCUCUGAUGUUAGCGGCGGACGGGUGAGUAACACGUGGAUAACCUACCUAUAAGACUGGGAUAACUUCGGGAAACCGGAGCUAAUACCGGAUAAUAUUUUGAACCGCAUGGUUCAAAAGUGAAAGACGGUCUUGCUGUCACUUAUAGAUGGAUCCGCGCUGCAUUAGCUAGUUGGUAAGGUAACGGCUUACCAAGGCAACGAUGCAUAGCCGACCUGAGAGGGUGAUCGGCCACACUGGAACUGAGACACGGUCCAGACUCCUACGGGAGGCAGCAGUAGGGAAUCUUCCGCAAUGGGCGAAAGCCUGACGGAGCAACGCCGCGUGAGUGAUGAAGGUCUUCGGAUCGUAAAACUCUGUUAUUAGGGAAGAACAUAUGUGUAAGUAACUGUGCACAUCUUGACGGUACCUAAUCAGAAAGCCACGGCUAACUACGUGCCAGCAGCCGCGGUAAUACGUAGGUGGCAAGCGUUAUCCGGAAUUAUUGGGCGUAAAGCGCGCGUAGGCGGUUUUUUAAGUCUGAUGUGAAAGCCCACGGCUCAACCGUGGAGGGUCAUUGGAAACUGGAAAACUUGAGUGCAGAAGAGGAAAGUGGAAUUCCAUGUGUAGCGGUGAAAUGCGCAGAGAUAUGGAGGAACACCAGUGGCGAAGGCGACUUUCUGGUCUGUAACUGACGCUGAUGUGCGAAAGCGUGGGGAUCAAACAGGGUUAGAUACCCUGGUAGUCCACGCCGUAAACGAUGAGUGCUAAGUGUUAGGGGGUUUCCGCCCCUUAGUGCUGCAGCUAACGCAUUAAGCACUCCGCCUGGGGAGUACGACCGCAAGGUUGAAACUCAAAGGAAUUGACGGGGACCCGCACAAGCGGUGGAGCAUGUGGUUUAAUUCGAAGCAACGCGAAGAACCUUACCAAAUCUUGACAUCCUUUGACAACUCUAGAGAUAGAGCCUUCCCCUUCGGGGGACAAAGUGACAGGUGGUGCAUGGUUGUCGUCAGCUCGUGUCGUGAGAUGUUGGGUUAAGUCCCGCAACGAGCGCAACCCUUAAGCUUAGUUGCCAUCAUUAAGUUGGGCACUCUAAGUUGACUGCCGGUGACAAACCGGAGGAAGGUGGGGAUGACGUCAAAUCAUCAUGCCCCUUAUGAUUUGGGCUACACACGUGCUACAAUGGACAAUACAAAGGGCAGCGAAACCGCGAGGUCAAGCAAAUCCCAUAAAGUUGUUCUCAGUUCGGAUUGUAGUCUGCAACUCGACUACAUGAAGCUGGAAUCGCUAGUAAUCGUAGAUCAGCAUGCUACGGUGAAUACGUUCCCGGGUCU
rnacentral:rRNA from 1 species